rnacentral:tRNA from 1 species
UAAAGAGAUAGGAAUUGAACCUAUAAUUAAGAAAUCAAAAUGCUUAGUAAUUCCGUUUUACUACU